AAGUAUACAAUACAGGCAUUUGAAAGGUAUAAAAGAACAAAGCAAAAGGGUUGACUUCAGUUCACGGCAAUCAUGCGAGGGAAACUUAUAAGUAUAUUCUUUUUCGCUGUUCUUGGGAUCAGUGUGGCUUUCGGAGCUGAUGGGAUCAUCGAUGACAACAAUGCCGCUGAAAAACAAUUUCCGUAUCAAGUCUUUCUUCACACUAUAUCCAAUUUUCAAAUGCCUGUUAGCACGAUAGAAAAAUGUACGGGCACUUUAGUCUCGAAGAGGAUAAUCCUGUCUGCAGCUUCUUGUCUUAAUUCUAAAGUACAUGCCUACCUAAUUAAGUUUGGUGUCACUGAACUAAAUUACUUCAAAGAACACGGACGACUUACAGUGGAGAGAAAAAGUGUUGUGAUACACGAGGACUUUGAUCCAUAUUUGCAUUAUAAUGAUAUUGGUCUCAUC